rnacentral:lncRNA from 1 species
GUUUUCGGUGGAUUAUCCAAAGGAACAUAUCACAGCUGUUGGUGGAAGCUACGAUCAUAUUUUUACCUACGAUACAACGCUUAUCACAUCGCUAUACUUCACAACCUCCAAUGGAAUUACCUCUCCAUUAUUUGGUAAGCAGAGUGGAAAAGACUUCAAUCUCAAAGGUGAAAAUGGAGGAAAGCUUGUUGGAUUCCAUGGCCGUGGUGGAGCUGCUAUAAAUGCCAUUGGAGCUUACUUUGACACCAGUUCGAAAGGAGGUGACGAUACAAAACCUGUUGACACUGACACCAAACCCGGCAAAGACGAUUCAAAACCUGAUGCCUCGGGAAAGACGGGACUGCUUGGUGGUAAAGGUGGAAACGCAUUUGACGAUGGUCGUUUUGAUGGUGUAAAGAAAAUAACUGUGGGAGCGGAUGAUUUAAGUGUGACCUAUAUCAAGAUAGAAUACAUUAAAGAUGGAAAGGUCGAAAUCCGUGAACAUGGGACGAAUCGCGGGGAACUAAAAGAGGUUAGAUUGAAUCAAUCAAAAGUCUUUUUGUGUGUGAAUUUUGUUUUUAUUCAAUUGGUAUGCCACUAAUUCGUUUGUUAAUACAGUUUUCGGUGGAUUAUCCGAAAGACAAGAUCACAGCCGUUGGUGGAAGCUACGAUCAUAUUUUCACCUACGAUGCGACGCUUGUCACAUCACUAUACUUCACAACCUCCAAUGGAAUCACCUCUCCAUUAUUCGGUAAAACGAGUGGAAAUGACUUCAAUCUCAAAGGUGAAAAUGGAGAAAAGCUUGUUGGGUUCCAUGGACGUGGUGGCACUGCUAUUGAUGCCAUUGGAGCUUACUUCGACACUAGCAGCGAUUCCAGUACUCAAAGAGUGGACGCACAAGGAGGCAAGGGAGGCAUUCAAUGGGACGAUGGAGGCGAUCACGAUGGUGUGACGAAGAUACUUCUUGUAGGUAGUGGUCGAGGUAUUGAUCAAAUCAAGUUCGAUUAUCUCGAAAACAAGCAGCCAAAGGAAGGAACCCUCCAUGGUGUGAAAGGAAGAAGAAGUUUCGAAUCAACGGUCAGUAUAAAUGUAAUAUUAUUAUUUUUUUCACGUUUUUCUGAUUACUGAAAAUUUCGUGUUCUCUGCAGAUUGAGAUAAGUCAUCCCAAUGAGUAUCUAGUUUCAGUCAAGGGUUGGUACGAUGCGUCCAAUGUCAUUCAGGGACUUCAGUUCAAAACCAGCACAAAGACUUCUGAUUACUUUGUGUCCGAAUUUGCUGGAGACGGUACAGAGUUUACACUUGAAGUUAAAGACAAG